rnacentral:rRNA from 1 species
UACGUAGGGACCAAGCGUUGUUCGGAUUUACUGGGCGUAAAGGGCGCGUAGGCGGCAAUUCAAGUCAUCUGUGAAAUCUCCGGGCUUAACUCGGAACGGUCAGAUGAUACUGCUUUGCUAGAGUGCGGAAGGGGCAAUCGGAAUUCUUGGUGUAGCGGUGAAAUGCGUAGAUAUCAAGAGGAACACCUGAGGUGAAGACGGGUUGCGGGGCCGACACUGACGCUGAGUGCGCGAAAGCCAGGGGAGCAAACGGG